rnacentral:rRNA from 1 species
UACGUAGGGUGCAAGCGUUAAUCGGAAUUACUGGGCGUAAAGCGUGCGUAGGCGGUUCGGAAAGAAGGAUGUGAAAUCCCAGGGCUCAACCUUGGAAUGGCAUUCUUAACUCCCGGGCUAGAGUGUGUCAGAGGGGGGUGGAAUUCCGCGUGUAGCAGUGAAAUGCGUAGAGAUGCGGAGGAACACCGAUGGCGAAGGCAGCCCCCUGGGAUAACACUGACGCUCAGGCACGAAAGCGUGGGGAGCAAACAGGAUUAGAUACCCUGGUAGUCCACGCCCUAAACGAUGUCAACUAGCUGUUGGGUUCUUCGGAGCUUAGUAGCGCAGCUAACGCGUGAAGUUGACCGCCUGGGGAGUACGGUCGCAAGAUUAAA